AGGGUUCGAUCCUGGCUCAGGAUGAACGCUGGCGGCGUGCCUAAUACAUGCAAGUAGAACGCUGAAGGAGGAGCUUGCUCUUCUGGAUGAGUUGCGAACGGGUGAGUAACGCGUAGGUAACCUGCCUGGUAGCGGGGGAUAACUAUUGGAAACGAUAGCUAAUACCGCAUGACAACAGUUAUUGCAUGAUAACUGUUUAAAAGGGGCAACUGCUCCACUACCAGAUGGACCUGCGUUGUAUUAGCUAGUUGGUGAGGUAACGGCUCACCAAGGCGACGAUACAUAGCCGACCUGAGAGGGUGAUCGGCCACACUGGGACUGAGACACGGCCCAG
rnacentral:rRNA from 1 species